rnacentral:piRNA from 1 species
UAACACUCCUGACCAGGUGAAUAAGUCGGCC